AAAAAAAAAAAAACUCUAAUCUUAUCUGCUUCGUUUGACCUUGUGAAAUAAAUUCUUUCAUAAAUUGUGGUUAGAGAGAGAUGUGAGAUGAACGAUAACCCCUUGUCUUUUGCCAUGAGAACAGUUAUGACUACUCCAUUUAGGAAACUUGUAGCCCACAUGACAUGCAAUGACGUCCCGCAUGCCAGAUAAUAUGAAAAAGGAUCCCCAAGCAAUCUCAAAGAUCGAGAUACAUUGUGUAUAGAACAAUGAACCCGAAUUUAUAUGUACAUGAUAUAUAUGUGAAAAAAGCAAACGAUUAAUGACCUCCACAGGUUUUUAAUGGUGGUUUUUUUUACGGUUUUACUGACAGAUUACCAACAUUUCUAUAUUAUUAAUAGGAGAAACGCUUUUAAAAAUCCUGCUAAUCAUCUUUGUGGCUUUGGGAAACAGUCGUUAGGAGAGAGAGAGAGAGAGAGAGAGAGAGAGAGAGUAGAAGCAUUUUAGUUAAGCCUAUCCUGCGCUGGUUCGUGCGUUUGCUAUUGUGACACGGUACAGCAGCGAGUGAAAUUUGGAAUUAUAAUCACUUAGGGGGUGUUUAGUGGGGAAAGGGCACUGAGGAAGUGAGGAUAUUUAUAUUAUUUAAAUUAUUACUUGAUAACAUGUCAACUUGUGUGUGUGUGUGUGUGUGUUGGUGGAGGAGCAGAGACAGGUGGCAUUUGGCAGGGUGAGCGGCUGGCUGGAGUGUUUUGGCCAGCGCUGGUCAGUCGUGCCCCACGCACUCUGGUGAUAAGUGUUUCCGUAUUCCCGGAUGCUUCUCCCUGUAGCAAGCACUGUCACGCAACACCAGAGAGCCAUGAGUACGUAAGGGGUCAAUUUCAAAAUGGAAUACGUUACGUACGUAAGCCAGCGGCCGCCGGCAGCUAGCCUGUGACGUCAUCAACGGCCUGGGACUUGCCCGGCUCCAGUGUCUCUUGCUUCUUCCUGUACCAAGCACCGCCACGCAGCACCAGAGAGCCAUGAGUACGUAAGGUGGGCCCAGCAGUGCCACCAUCCCCUCAUUAAGCCUUACUGCCUUCACAGCAUUGCCUCUUCUCCCUGAUGGAGGGCUUAGGAUACCACAUGGAGGGGGGUGAAGGAGCCUUGGGGAUGCCUGAAGGAGAGUCAGUGAAGGAGGUGAAGGAAAUGCAGAAAAUUCCUUCGGUACUGAACGCUUCUCUGGUCAGACCAUCCUUCACUGAAUAUAUGGACCGAGGCUUCGAGAUACGAGGUGACACCCCACCCACAACAGCGCCAUCCUGCCUAUUUGUGGUGUGGCAGCCCUGAUCGUCCCCCUCCCUCCCUCUUCCUCCUCCUCCUCCUCCUACACCAAAGAAGAGACGUUUAAUCAGCUGGUGGAAAGGCGGUGGUGGGGAGGCGGAAGGACGUAGUCUGGAGGAGGCUGGCGGGGGUUAUGAAGAGGGUCCUGUUAUCUCUCCUCUCCCCCCACUCCCUCGCUUCCAGCCCUUGGACUCUCUCCGGAACGUAAAUAGUAGUAGUAGUUUAUUAUUAUUAUUAUUAUUAUUAUUAUUAUUAUUAUUAUUAUUGUUAUUAUUAUUAUUAUUAUUAUUAUUAUUAUUAUUAUCGUUAUUAUUAUCGUUAUUAUUAUUGCUAUUAUUAUCAUUUUCAUAACCUUCUCGUUAUUUCUAUUACCACUACUACAACUGCUACUACCACCACUACCCUCUUCCUCCUCCUCCUCUUCCUCAUCCUCCUCCUUUUCCUACCACCACCACCGCAACCACGAUUAUCCCAACAGAAGUAACGGCGGGGCUGGAAGUGGGCUGGAGUUUAGCAGGCUUCGCUAAGAUUGGGCUGGAAAUUAGUGGAAGAGGAGGCGUGGCACGUGACAGUGCAAUACGGGGCUUACAGAGGGCAGGUGUGACAGGGCCCUAGAGAGAGAUACGCUCACCAUGUAGAGAGAGAGAGAGAGAGAGAGAGAGAGAGAGAUAGGAUUUAUUUUCAUUUUCUUUCGUUAUAUAUUCAACUUAUUUAUUUAUUUAUUAUUUUAAGGGAUAUUUUCUUUUCUCAAUAUUUUUCAUUCGAUUUUAUAAUGGGAUGUUUAAUUUUAUCUAUAUUUGUUUACAUUCCUUAUCAAUUUCUUUCGAUUUUAUAUUCAGUUUAUUUAUUUAUCAUUAUUUUUUAAGAUCAUUUUUUUUCGCUCGUUUUCAUAAUGGGAAUGUUUAAUUUUACAUAUAUUUUUCUUUUUUGUUUAAUUUCUUCGACUUAAUAUCCAUUUUAUUUAUUUGUUAUUACUUCUAGGUGUGUCUAAGUACUUAAAAGGAUCAUUUAUUUAUUUAUUUAUUUUUCCGUCCGUUAUUUAUUUAUUUAUUUUUUUUUAAUGGAAACUUGUUAUUUCAUCUGUAUUUCCGUUUUCUGUUACUUGUGCA